rfam:Pan troglodytes isolate Yerkes chimp pedigree #C0471 (Clint) chromosome 12, whole genome shotgun sequence.
GCCAGGUGUGGUGGCACAUACCUGUCGUCCCAACCACUCGGGAGGCUGAGGUAGGAGGAUCACUUGAGCCCAGGAGGUUGAGGCUGCAGUGAGCCAUGAUCAUGGCCACUGCACUCUAGCCUGGGUGACAGAGUGAGACUCUGACUCAA